rnacentral:rRNA from 1 species
GCGUGCCUAAUACAUGCAAGUCGAGCGAACGGACGAGAAGCUUGCUUCUCUGAUGUUAGCGGCGGACGGGUGAGUAACACGUGGAUAACCUACCUAUAAGACUGGGAUAACUUCGGGAAACCGGAGCUAAUACCGGAUAAUAUUUUGAACCGCAUGGUUCAAAAGUGAAAGACGGUCUUGCUGUCACUUAUAGAUGGAUCCGCGCUGCAUUAGCUAGUUGGUAAGGUAACGGCUUACCAAGGCAACGAUGCAUAGCCGACCUGAGAGGGUGAUCGGCCACACUGGAACUGAGACACGGUCCAGACUCCUACGGGAGGCAGCAGUAGGGAAUCUUCCGCAAUGGGCGAAAGCCUGACGGAGCAACGCCGCGUGAGUGAUGAAGGUCUUCGGAUCGUAAAACUCUGUUAUUAGGGAAGAACAUAUGUGUAAGUAACUGUGCACAUCUUGACGGUACCUAAUCAGAAAGCCACGGCUAACUACGUGCCAGCAGCCGCGGUAAUACGUAGGUGGCAAGCGUUAUCCGGAAUUAUUGGGCGUAAAGCGCGCGUAGGCGGUUUUUUAAGUCUGAUGUGAAAGCCCACGGCUCAACCGUGGAGGGUCAUUGGAAACUGGAAAACUUGAGUGCAGAAGAGGAAAGUGGAAUUCCAUGUGUAGCGGUGAAAUGCGCAGAGAUAUGGAGGAACACCAGUGGCGAAGGCGACUUUCUGGUCUGUAACUGACGCUGAUGUGCGAAAGCGUGGGGAUCAAACAGGAUUAGAUACCCUGGUAGUCCACGCCGUAAACGAUGAGUGCUAGGUGUUAGGGGGUUUCCGCCCCUUAGUGCUGCAGCUAACGCAUUAAGCACUCCGCCUGGGGAGUACGACCGCAAGGUUGAAACUCAAAGGAAUUGACGGGGACCCGCACAAGCGGUGGAGCAUGUGGUUUAAUUCGAAGCAACGCGAAGAACCUUACCAAAUCUUGACAUCCUUUGACAACUCUAGAGAUAGAGCUUUCCCCUUCGGGGGACAAAGUGACAGGUGGUGCAUGGUUGUCGUCAGCUCGUGUCGUGAGAUGUUGGGUUAAGUCCCGCAACGAGCGCAACCCUUAAGCUUAGUUGCCAUCAUUAAGUUGGGCACUCUAAGUUGACUGCCGGUGACAAACCGGAGGAAGGUGGGGAUGACGUCAAAUCAUCAUGCCCCUUAUGAUUUGGGCUACACACGUGCUACAAUGGACAAUACAAAGGGCAGCGAAACCGCGAGGUCAAGCAAAUCCCAUAAAGUUGUUCUCAGUUCGGAUUGUAGUCUGCAACUCGACUACAUGAAGCUGGAAUCGCUAGUAAUCGUAGAUCAGCAUGCUACGGUGAAUACGUUCCCGGGUCU